rnacentral:rRNA from 1 species
AUGGGUAUAGACGGUCUUUCAUUAUUCUUCGUGAUAUUGACCACAUUUCUGAUCCCUAUUUGCAUUUCAGUGGUUUGGUCUGGUAUGAGAAGUUUUGGGAAAGAGUAUAGUACAGCAUUUCUAAUUCGUGAAUUUCUAAUGAUCGCCGUGUCCUGCAUGCUGGAUCCUCUACUAUUCGUGAAUUUCUAG